GAUGAACGCUGGCGGCGUGCCUAAUACAUGCAAGUCGAGCGAACAGACGAGGAGCUUGCUCCUCUGACGUUAGCGGCGGACGGGUGAGUAACACGUGGAUAACCUACCUAUAAGACUGGGAUAACUUCGGGAAACCGGAGCUAAUACCGGAUAAUAUAUUGAACCGCAUGGUUCAAUAGUGAAAGACGGUUUUGCUGUCCCUUAUAGAUGGAUCCGCGCCGCAUUAGCUAGUUGGUAAGGUAACGGCUUACCAAGGCAACGAUGCGUAGCCGACCUGAGAGGGUGAUCGGCCACACUGGAUCUGAGACACGGUCGAGACUCCUACGGGAGGCAGCAGUAGGGAAUCUUCCGCAAUGGGCGAAAGCCUGACGGAGCAACGCCGCGUGAGUGAUGAAGGUCUUCGGAUCGUAAAACGCUGUUAUUAGGGAAGAACAAAUGUGUAAGUAACUAUGCACGUCUUGACGGUACCUAAUCAGAAAGCCACGGCUAACUACGUG
rnacentral:rRNA from 1 species